AGAUAUUCCUGGUGUCAGGUUCAAAGUUGUGAAGGUUUCUGGUGUUUCUCUCUUGGCUCUCUUUAAGGAGAAGAAGGAGAAACCAAGAUCUUAAUUUUGCCAUUUUGCCAAGAUACUGUUGCCAUGGACUUCUAGUUUUCUUGAGUAUGUACUUUGUGAGCAACCAUCUUUAAUGUAGUCACAUUGCACUGAAAUUUUGGUUCAUUUCUGUUGUUACCUAACACCAUCUUGCUUCUCAAAACCCCCACAACCACAACAUAAAGGUAAGAGAACUAAAGAACAGAAAUUGCAUGUAUUUUAGGUCGUAAAAUACUUGUGCUUUGAGAAAAUGGACAUUUU
rnacentral:misc_RNA from 1 species